rnacentral:rRNA from 1 species
AUGCACGCUGGCGGCGUGCCUAAUCCCUGCCAGUCGCGCGAACAGACGAGGAGCUUGCUCCUCUGACGUUAGCGGCGGACGGGUGAGUAACACGUGGAUAACCUACCUAUAAGACUGGGAUAACUUCGGGAAACCGGAGCUAAUACCGGAUAAUAUAUUGAACCGCAUGGUUCAAUAGUGAAAGACGGUUUUGCUGUCACUUAUAGAUGGAUCCGCGCCGCAUUAGCUAGUUGGUAAGGUAACGGCUUACCAAGGCAACGAUGCGUAGCCGACCUGAGAGGGUGAUCGGCCACACUGGAACUGAGACACGGUCCAGACUCCUACGGGAGGCAGCAGUAGGGAAUCUUCCGCAAUGGGCGAAAGCUUGACGGAGCAACGCCGCGUGAGUGAUGAAGGUCUUCGGAUCGUAAAACUCUGUUAUUAGGGAAGAACAAUUGUGUAAGUAACUAUGCACGUCUUGACGGUACCUAAUCAGAAAGCCACGGCUAACUACGUG